rnacentral:rRNA from 1 species
AUUGAACGCUGGCGGCAUGCUUUACACAUGCAAGUCGAACGGUAACAGGGUGCUUGCACCGCUGACGAGUGGCGAACGGGUGAGUAAUGCGUCGGAACGUGCCGAGUAGUGGGGGAUAACGCAGCGAAAGUUGUGCUAAUACCGCAUACGUACUGAGGUAGAAAGUGGGGGACCUUCGGGCCUCACGCUAUUCGAGCGGCCGACGUCUGAUUAGCUAGUAGGUGAGGUAAAGGCUCACCUAGGCGACGAUCAGUAGCGGGUCUGAGAGGAUGAUCCGCCACACUGGGACUGAGACACGGCCCAGACUCCUACGGGGGGCAGCAGUGGGGAAUUUUGGACAAUGGGCGAAAGCCUGAUCCAGCCAUGCCGCGUGUCUGAAGAAGGCCGUCGGGUUGUAAAGGACUUUUGUCAGGGAGGAAAUCCCUAGUGCUAAUAACACUGGGGGAUGACAGUACCUGAAGAAUAAGCACCGGCUAACUACGUGCCAGCAGCCGCAGUAA